UUUCCGUAGGUGAACCUGCGGAAGGAUCAUUACUGAGUGAGGGCCCUCUGGGUCCAACCUCCCACCCGUGUUUAUUAUACCUUGUUGCUUCGGUGAGCCCGCCUCACGGCCGCCGGGGGGCAUCUGCCCCCGGGCCCGCGCCCACCGAAGACACCUAGAACUCUGUAUGAAGAUUGCAGUCUGAGCAAAAACUGAAUAAGUUAAAACUUUCAACAACGGAUCUCUUGGUUCCG
rnacentral:misc_RNA from 1 species